GGCCCGGUGGUCAAGCGGUUAAGACACGGCCCUUUCACGGCUGUAACCCGGGUUCGAUUCCCGGUCGGGUCA
rnacentral:tRNA from 1 species